rnacentral:rRNA from 1 species
UACGGAGGGUGCAAACGUUGCUCGGAAUCAUUGGGCGUAAAGCGUGUGUAGGUGGUCUGUUAAGUCGGGUGUGAAAGCCCUGGGCUCAACCCAGGAAGUGCAUUCGAAACUAACAGACUUGAGUACGGGAGAGGGUCGCGGAAUUCCCGGUGUAGAGGUGAAAUUCGUAGAUAUCGGGAGGAACACCAGUGGCGAAGGCGGCGACCUGGACCGAUACUGACGCUGAGACACGAAAGCGUGGGGAGCAAACAGG